UUGGCCUACGGGGGGCAGCAGUGAGGAAUAUUGGUCAAUGGGCGGGAGCCUGAACCAGCCAAGUCGCGUGAAGGAAGAAGGUACUUAGUAUUGUAAACUUCUUUUGUCGGGGAACAAAGGCGGAGACGCGUCUCCGGAUGAGUGUACCCGAAGAAAAAGCAUCGGCUAACUCCGUGCCAGCAGCCGCGGUAAUACGGAGGAUGCGAGCGUUAUCCGGAUUUAUUGGGUUUAAAGGGUGCGCAGGCGGGCUGUUAAGUCAGCUGUCAAAGCCAGGGGCUCAACCCCGGCCCGCCGUUGGAACUGGG
rnacentral:rRNA from 1 species